GAUGAUUAUUAUUCAUUUACAAUGAAAAAAACCUUUAGGGCAUUUUUAUAGUGUAGAUAAAAGAUUAAA
rnacentral:tRNA from 1 species